CAACACAGAAACAUUGUAAUUAUAUAACAAAGGAUUUUAAAUAUAAUUGUGUGUGGGUAGGACUUCACUGUGUAAAUAGAGCACUGCAACAUAUUUGGUGGAGGCAUCACUGUAUAUAGGAAAGAUCACAAGUUCUACAUACUACCGUAUGGUUCCUCUACAAAGGGGGUUAAAGAUACAGAGGUAAGGUAAGGAUGGUAAACUACGAAAUGAAUUCGGAAUUUCGAUACGAUAUUUCUUCACAGUAAAUAUUCAAGUUUUUAUGUUUCAACUUUU
rnacentral:lncRNA from 1 species